rnacentral:rRNA from 1 species
CCUACGGGUGGCAGCAGUGGGGGAUAUUGCACAAUGGGGGGAACCCUGAUGCAGCGACGCCGCGUGAGUGAAGAAGUAUCUCGGUGUGUAAAGCUCUAUCAGCAGGGAAGAAAAUGACGGUACCUGAUGAAGAAGCCCCGGCUAACUACGUGCCAGCAGCCGCGGUAAUACGUAGGGGGCAAGCGUUAUCCGGAUUUACUGGGUGUAAAGGGAGCGUAGACGGCAGAGCAAGGCAGGAGUGAAAUGCCGGGGCUCAACCCCGGAACUGCUUUUGAAACUGUGCAGCUGGAGUGCAGGAGAGGUAAGUGGAAUUCCUGGUGUAGCGGUGAAAUGCGUAGAUAUCAGGAGGAACACCAGUGGCGAAGGCGGCUUACUGGACUGUAACUGACGUUGAGGCUCGAAAGCGUGGGGAGCAAACAGGAUUAGAUACCCUUGUAGUC